rnacentral:lncRNA from 1 species
GGCUGUUAGAAAGGUCGAGGCUCUUAUUUCUCAAUUUGUGGGUGAUACAGACAGGACAAUGCAAUAAGAAUGGCUGCUAUUUAUUGAAUGUCUACUACGAGCCUGGUGCUACAGUGGCUCCUCUACGUAUGUCAUUGUAGGAGUGUAUUUGGUCAGGAGGAUCAUAAAUCCUUAUUUUAUUCCCCUUCAUCUUAGAGAAAAUAGCUUGAUGACACCCAGGAAUGUGACACCUAGGUACAGGAAAGAGGAGGGCAGCGACAAUGGUAAAGCCAAGUGGAGGGAGCUGAAUGCAGAGCAAAUGACAUUACUGGAAAUUUCAGCUUUUAACUCUGACGAGGCUCUGCCAAUACCUGGAUCCAGAUAAGUGUGAGUACUACAUUGGAACACAAGGCCUGACUACAGACUAGAAGUGGCUCCAGAAGCACUUCAUCUUCUGUGGCUAAGAAACAGGAUCUGUUCUGAGAAAAACCAACAUCUGUAACCACACGUUAAGAGUGCAUAAAUUCACACACACAUACAUCACAACAACAACAACAACAACAACUUUCUUUGAAAGAGGGGCGAGUGAUGUAGUUAUAAUCUCUCACUAUUGGAGAGUUUCUGAAACAUGUUCACAUCUCCUACCUCAUUUGAUCCUCCCCCAAAUGCAGUUUGGAAUAAGGCAUGCAGCCACUACAAGUCCUGUUUCACAGAUGAAGUGGGUGAGGUUUAGAAAAGCCAAGGGCCUAGCUCAAGGUCACAAGUUACUGGGUGGCGGAGCAGGGACGUGAGCCCAGGUGUCCGAGUCCUGUGCCAUUGGGGACCCACUUGACUAAUGCAGGGUAUUAGAGUUAAGUGGGUAAGGGGUCUUGAAACAUUUGCCCAUUUUUCAGGCAUUUGACCUAAACCACAGAAAAGGGAAAAACUAGUGACCUAAGGUCACAUAAAGAGUCACACAAGCAGAAAAUUGAAGAAAGAAUGAAGUCUAACUCCAGUCCAUGUUUACAACAAAUCCUCCUCCUAUCAAGAGCCAGUACCUUUAAAAAGGAAUCUCUUCUUCUCAAAAGAACCAGAGACAUUUCCAAAUGUUUUCCCCUUGAUUAAAAUCCUAGGUAUAAAAAGCAGGAAAUGUUUAUGCUCAAAAAACAAGGCUCCUCUGUAUUGAGCAAAUGGGAAUCCUUUGAUUCAAUCUGAAAUUUCUUUUCUAGGUAUGGUUACGUGGUUUUUUAAAAGAAAUAAAAAUGGAGAACGUUCAAUGCUUUAAAUACCAC